UGUUCAUCCCUCAUCCUGGGCCCACCUCCAGGCUGCAUGGCUUAGUGCUGCCCAACCCCACUGCCCCAGUUCACCCUCCUCUGCCCACUGCCAAGCUUUGGGGUGGCUUGCUACAUUGGCGUCCUCACAAAGCUGCCCUGCACUGGAGUGGCCAGGAAACUCCUGCAGGUAGACAUGCUCGAGGAGAGUGCCCUGCACAAGGAGAAGGUAAGGAGGCCCGGACAGCCUGG
rnacentral:lncRNA from 1 species